UGUCCUCCAUGUUCUCCACGUCUUAUUGAGCCCCAUAGUGUCUUUCCAUGUUCCCGUGUGUCCCCACAUGUCCCCCAUGUCCCCUUGAGCCCCAUGGUGUGUCCCCACAUCCCCAUAUGUCCUCCACGCCUUAUUGAACCCCAUGGUGUCUUUCCAUAUCCCUAUGUGUCCCCACACGUCCCCCAUGUCCUCUCGAGUCCCAUGGUGUGUCUCCAUGUCCCCACGUGUUCUCCACAUCCCAUCAAGCCCCAUGGUGUGCCCCCACGUCCCCAUGUGUCCCCACAUAUCCCCCGUGUCCCCUUGAGCCCCAUGGUGUGCCUCCAUGUCCCCACAUGUUCUCCAUGUCUCCUUGAGCUCCGUGGCAUGUCUCCAUGUCCCCAUGUAUCCCCACAUGUCCCCCAUGUCCCCUCGAGCCCCACGGUGUGUCCCCACAUCCCCAUGUCUUAUUGAGCACCAUGGUGUCUUUCCAUGUUCCCACGUGUCCCCACAUGUCCCCCAUGUCCUCUCAAGUCCCAUGGUGUGUCUCCAUGUCCCCCCAUGUUCUCCACGUCUCCUCGAGCUCCGUGGCGUGUCCCCACGUCCCCACGCGUCCCCCCCGCGCCCCCCGUGCCGGCGCGGGACCUGGGGCAGCUGCCGGUCGGAGCCCUUGAGGCGGGCGACGCACUUCUGGAAGAAGACGUGCACCUCGCUCUUCUCGGCGCUCGAGGUGAGGUCCAGGGAGCCGAGGGCGGCCGCGUGCUCGUCGCAGCGGCUCCGCGAGAAGGUGAAGGCCACCACGGGCAGCUGCUCGCGGGCCCGCAGGGCGCCCAGCAGCGCCAGCCACACGCCCUUGUCCUGCGCGGCGGCGCGGCCUCAGCGGGGCCCCGCCAAACGGGACCCCAAAUCCCCCGGGGACCACAAAUCCCCUCAAAAUGGGACCCCAAAUCCCCCCGAAACGGGACCCCAAACCCCCCCAAACGGGACCCCAAAUGCCCCGGGGACCUCAAAUCCCCCCCAAAACGGGGCUCCAACUGUCCUGGGGAUCCCAAAUCCCCUGAAACGGGACCCCAACCCACUCAGAGACCCCAAAUCCCCCCAAAACGGGACCCCAGCUGCCCCAGGGACCUCAAAUCCCCUCAAAAUGGGACCCC
rnacentral:lncRNA from 1 species